UGGCUCGGUGCCAGUUCAGGUAGACGGGCAGCCCCUCCCUGCACUGUUCGCUGCUGGCACAGGGGGCCGUGCUCCCCGCGCCCCUGCCUUUGGCACGAGGUGCUGCUCUCGGAAGAGCUGCUGUCUGUACCCUUGGGCUCCCGUGGGGCUCUCUCCUCUCCUUCCAGGAACACCUUUGCCACUAGCUCCGCCCCCCCAUUUACCCAGGAGGGCGGCAGGGCUUCCCAGGGGCGUCCGCACCGACAGUCCGAGCUGGGCAGGAGGACAGAGGCAGACGCAGCCCCCGCUCCCCGCCCCAGCAUCCCCCCAGCUUCGGCCGCAACCAGCGUCCAGCGUAGACGGUCAGCCCCACCCCCCUUUUGAAAUCCCCUCUUGCUUUGGACAGGCACUGCGAGAAACAGUGAAAAUAAAUCUUUUGUGGCUCAAAGGCUGAAGGAGGGAAAGAGGAGGAGCUGGUCGGCCUCCGCCUCGUCCCGUGGCAGGUGAGUGCCGACUGCAGGUGCCGCGCCGGCCUGGGAGCGGGUUUCCUGACUCGUUCCCCGCAGAUCACGGGCCAGUGAGAGGCCGUCAGACAGACAUCCCCGUGGUGACCGCGGAACACCAUAAGGACCACACGCUAUCUUUAAAAAGUGUCCUCCAUCUGCAACUGGUGAAGGCCGUGGAGGAAGUGGCUUGUCCCUUCCCACUUCAGAAUGCUUUUUUGGGACACUCGUCACAGUUGGGAGCCAAAGGCCACGGGUGCAGACAGACGGCACUAAGAAUCUCGUAACGACCCCCUUGAGCUCCCUCCCUCAGUCUGAGCCAGGCUCUUCCCUCUUCGUCACCUGUGUGUGUGCUUACAUCAUCCCAGUCGUCAAUCUUUUGCAGAAGAAAAACAGAUGGGAAAAGAGCUGCUCCUGAACGCAUCCCUCCGCGGGAACUCUGCUGUCCGGACGAGAAGCGUCUCUCCCCGGGACUCGUGAGCAGCAGCCCGCGGCAUUUGAUAAUGAAAACAGGGUCAGUCGGUCAGGAAAACCUAACAAUCGAAUGUGUGUGUUGCACAUAAAGGAGUUUCAAAGAACCGGAAGCAAAGUUUGACGAAAUUAAAGGAAGACAGACACUUCUACUGGGGUGAUGGAUAUUUUAACAUCUAAAUCACCUGUUCUCUCAGCAACUGGUAGAACUAGACCAAAAAACACAGACACAGGUGUUCUGAACAAAACUCUCAUCUCCUUGCCCUCACAGGUGUUGGGGUCCAGGCCACCUUUGUCAGAAAACUGUCCUGAGGAUGGAGCCGCGGUUUGCUUUCACCUCUGCAAGUCACAGCAGGCAGCAGCACCUUCAGACCUGCACGCGGGACACCCUCCCUUCCCGCAACAGUUGUCAGAAGAAGUGGCACAUCUCUGGGCACAUGGUCUGGUAGGCGGUGGCCACCCGGAACUUUCAGGGAGACGCCCACGCGAAGUUCCAAGGGUCAGAGUGCAGUCAGGGCCGCAGAAAGGGGCCCUUUCCAUGGGCUUGGGGUCGGGGGAGGCGGGGGACCUUGUAGAUUGCAACAAGACCCCCUUUGCCCCCCUUUGAGCGGAGGACCCACCUUGGGGCCUUGCAAUCUGAGUUCGCCGUAGCAGAGCCCCGAGCCCCAGGCCGCAGGAGAGACAGGCACCUGCCCGGCACCUGCUCCGUGCGGUCGGGUGCGGCCCGAGGACGGCCCUCGGGGUGCCUGGGACCCCGGCCCCCACCCCGGCCGCGUCGCGAGGCUGCGGUCGCCACUUGCAGACGGAUCGCCUUCCGCUUCCCGACACCGGCCCUUCCGCCCGCUGCCGGGCCCGCAGCGCCCCGGGGACAGGCAGGCGCCGGACGAGCCGCACUGGCCGUGCUAAUCGUCCUCCGCCUUCCGGCGCCGCGGGGACGCCUCGGCCCUGGACGGUUUGCGAGCGCUCAGCUUCCGCCUGAGGGAGGAGAACUUGUCGCCCAGGACCCGGCGCAGCCCCGCGCCGUCUCGGCCGCAGGGCGGGUCCUGCCGGGGGGCCGGGAGCCGCCCCGUGAACAGGUCCCAGCGGGCCAGGGCGUCCACGGCGCCGUCCACCCGCGCCAGCUCCUCCUCGGUCACGUCCCUCUCCAGGGCCUGGAUGCAGGCCGCCAGCCAGCGGCCGUGCUCCGCCAGCGCCUCCGCCGGACUCUCCGCGGCCGCCAAGGAGCCCAGCCCGUCCUCGGGCUCCAGCUCCGGGCCCGCGGGCAAGGCGUGGCUCCAGGCGUCCGGGGACAGGGGCUCCGACAGCCCGCUGCCCGGCUCCGAGUCGCUCUCGCCGCACAGGCCCGAGUCCGCGCUGCAGGGCAGGGUGUCCUCCGACACGGACGGCUCCCCCGCCGCCGGCCCAGGCCGUGUCCCCGCCGCCGCUAGCGUCCAGGUGUACAGCCUCUACGAGGGAGAGACGCGGGCUGAGUCGGCCUGUCCGGCCCCUUCCCUCGCCAGGGAGCCGCCAGGAGACCCAGCCCCUCUCCCGAGGGGACCCCACUGUGCCCACGACCCAGGGCGAGUGGCAGUCUGGUGUCAUAGGGGCCCUCGGAAUGGGGCCUCUAAAGACAGACGGCGAACUUGCGGGAGCUUUGCAAGCCUGACCGUUAUUCGUGGAUAAAUUGAGCUGACCUGUUAACACUCCGUUCAAAGCAAAGGCAAUGAUGGUUUUCCUACAUCCCACUAGCACCUCUGCACGUGGUGCAGCCGGGCAUCGGAGACGCCAGCGGUCAGCUACUGCCCACCUCCUCCCCGCUUUCCUCCCGUGAUGGCUCACAACUGGCCGUGGUGGAGUCUACACCAUGGAAACGGCAGAUAACUCCCAAUCGAGGCUUUUUCCUUAGAGGGCGCUUACCAGCACACCGCUGACUGAUGGGAACAGAUCCAGAGCAGGCCCAGGGCGCCCCCCUCGAGGUUAGGAGUCGCGGGAAGGCACGCGUCAGGGGAGGGGGACGAAGGGCCUGAAAGUUCGGGUCCGAUAGGCGAGCAAGACCCCAAGAAAGGAAGUGGUGAGAAACCCCAGACCUUCUGCAGGCCGCAGCUGCCCCCCUUCCCCUUACACGCACACGAGGAUAAUGGGCAGCUUACGGCCAAGUCCCCAGCCCUGCGCUUGGUGGGGCAGGCACUCCGGUGACGGUGACGCCCACGCCCGUCGCAUCCUGCUGAGCGGCGUCAGCCAGUCGGCAGCAGGGGCACCUCCCUACGGGGGCACUGCCUCUGGGUCCCCUCUCCAGCGAGGCAGGCCGCCUCCUCAGCGCCCCUCGACGCGCUAUUUUACCCCAGAGACAUUCAGGGGAGACCCAGGCCGGGAGGCAACUCGGACCUGGACAUGCCCAGCCCCGUGUUCAGGGGUCCCCAGCCUGGGGUCCCCGACCAGCAGCAGCCUGGGAGCCCGUUAGAAACGCAGAGCCAACCCCUCCACAAGCACCGAAUCGUAAACUCCUGCCUGUCCGAGAGCCUCUCCCCCGAGUCCAGCACCCGGACCCAGUGGGCUCCAGAAGCUGACCGUCUCCAAGAGGAGGAUGGGCUUCCCAGAACCUCAGACACAACGAGAUUCACUUAAAGCGUCUGGCUUAAAACUUUGGGUCUUAAAAUUAAGCCCAAGCUGUUCUGUUGGUGGGCCUAUGCCUUCAUUCGAACAAAAAACUUUUUUAACUUGGUAUUUUCAUCCAAAGGUGGAUUUAAAGAAGAAAUUACCACUCUUCCAAAAGAUUGAAGAGGAGGGAACACUCCCAAAGACAUUCUAUGAAGCCACCAUCACCCUGAUACCAGAAACAAAGAUACCACCAAAAAAGAAAAUUACACGCCAAUAUCUUUGAUGACUAUAGAUGCAAAAAUUCUCAACAAAAUAUUAGCAAACCAAAUCCAACAACACAGUAAAAAGUUCAUACACCACAACCAAGUGGGAUUCAUCCCAAGUUCACAAGGAUGGUUCAAUAUAUGCAAAUCAAUCAAGGUGAUACACCACUUUAACAAAAGAAGACAAAAACCACCUGAUCAUCUCAAUAAAUGCAGAAAAGCAUUUGACGAAAUUCAACAUUAUGAUAAAACUCUUACCAAAGUGGGUAGAGAGGGAACCUAUCUCCACCUAAUAAAAGCCAUUUAUGACAAACCCACAGCCAACAUAAUACUCAACGGUGAAAAGCUGAAAGCCUUCCCACUAAAAUCUGGAACAAGACAAGGAUGCCCACUCACACCACUUCUAUUCAAUAUAGUACUGGAAGUCCUAGCCACAGCAAUCAGUCAGACAAGGAAAAGAAAUAAGAAGUAUCCAAAUUGCAAGGGAAGAGGUAAAACUGUCACUAUAUGUGGAUGACAUGAUACUAUAUAUAGAAAACCCUAAAGACUCCAAACAAAAACUACUAGAAUUGGUUGCAUUUCUUUACACUAGCAAUGAAAUAUCAGAAAGGGAAUGUAAAAAAAACAAUACCUUUUAAAAUUGCACCACAAAAUUAAAAUACCUGGGAAUAAACCUGACCAAGGAGGUGGAAGUCUUAUAUGCUGAGAUCUAUAAAACAUUAAUAAAGGAAACUAAAGAAACUGAUUCAAAGAAAUGGAAAGAUAUCCCAUGCAUUUGGAUUGGAAGAAUUAAUAUUGUUAAAAUGGCAAUACUACCCAAAGCAAUCUACAGAUUUAAUGCGAUCCCUAUCAAAUUACCCAUGACAUUUUUCACAGAACUAGAACAAAUAAUCCAAAAAUUUAUAUGGAACCAUAAAAGACCCAGAAUUGCCAAAGCAAUCCUGAGGGGGGGCGGGGGGGGAAGCAGGAGGCAUAACCCUCCCAGACUUCAGACAAUACUACAAAGCGACAGUAAUCAAAACAGUGUGGUAUUGGCACAAAAACAGACAUAUGGAUCAAUGGAACAGAAUAGAGAGCCCAGAAAUAAACCCACACACCUAAGGUGAAUUAAUCUUCGACAAAGGAGGCAAGAAUAUAAAAUGGGAAAAAGCCUCUUCACUAAGUGGUGCUGGGAAAGUUGGACAGCUGCAUGUAAAUCAAUGAAAUUAGAACACACCCUCAUACCAUGCAUAAAAAGAAACUCAAAAGGGCUUAAAGAGUUAAACAUAAUACAUGACACCAUAAAACUAGAAGAGAGCAUGGCCAAAACAUUCUCUGACAUAAAUCAUACAAAUGUUUUCUUAGGUCAGUCUCCCAAGGCAAUAGAAAUAAAAACAAAAAUAAAUAAAUGGGACCUAAUCAAACUUACAAGCUUUUGCACAGCAAAGGAAACCAUAAACCAAACAAAAAGACAACCUAUGAAAUGGGAGAAAGUUUUUGCAAAUGAGGCGACCAACAAGGGCUUAAUCUCCAAAAUAUACAAACAGCUCAUAAAACAAUAACAAAAAAAAACAAACCACCCAAUCAAAAACUGGGCAGAAGACCUAAAUAGACAUUUCUCCUAAGAAGGCAUACAGAUGGUCAAUAAGCACAUAAAAAGAUGCUCAACAUCACUAAUUAUUAGAGAAAUGCAAAUCAAAACUACAAGGAGGUACCACCACACACCAGUUAGAAUGGCCAUCAUUAAAAAGUCUACAAAAAACAAAUGCUGGAGAGGGUGUGGAGAAAAGGGAACCCUCCUACACUGUUGGUAGGAAGGUAAACUGGUGCAGCUACUAUGGAAAACAGUAUGGAACUUCUUCAGAAAACUAAAAAUAGAAUUACCAUAUGAUCCAGCAAUUCCACUGCUGGGCAUAUAUCCAGACAAAACUCUAAUCCAGAAAGAUACAUGCACCCCUACGUUCACAGCAGCACUAUUUACAAAAGCCAAGACAUAGAAACAACCUAAAUGUCCAUUGACAGAUGAAUGGAUAAAGAAGAUGUGGUACAUAUAUACAAUGGAAUACUACUCAGCCAUAAAAAAAGAAUGAAAUAAUGCCAAUUGUAGCAACAUGGAUGCAACUAGAGAUUAUCAUACUAAGUGAAGUAAGUCAGAGAAAGACAAAUACCAUAUGAUAUCACUUACAUGUGGAAUCUAAAAAAUGACACAAGUGAACAUAUCUAUGAGACAGAAACAGACUCACAGACGUAGAGAACAGAC